rnacentral:tRNA from 1 species
CGGAAUAGCUCAGUUGGUAGAGCAGAGGACUGAAAAUCCUCG